GAUGAAGAACGUAGUGAAAUGCGAUAAGUAGUGUGAAUUGCAGAAUUCAGUGAAUCAUCGAAUCUUUGAACGCACAUUGCGCCCCUUGGUAUUCCAUGGGGCAUGCCUGUUCGAGCGUCAUUGCUGCCCUCAAGCACGGCUUGUGUGUUGGGCUUCCGUCCCUGGCAACGGGGACGGGCCCAAAAGGCAGUGGCGGCACCAUGUCUGGUCCUCGAGCGUAUGGGGCUUUGUCACCCGCUCCCGUAGGUCCAGCUGGCAGCUAGCCUCGCAACCAAUCUUUUUAACCAGGUUGACCUCGGAUCAGGUAGGGAUACCCGCUGAACUUAAGCAUAUCAAUAAGCGGAGGA
rnacentral:misc_RNA from 1 species